rnacentral:rRNA from 1 species
GACGAACGCUGGCGGCGUGCUUAACACAUGCAAGUCGAACGGUGAAGCUCCAGCUUGCUGGAGUGGAUCAGUGGCGACCGGGUGAGUAACACGUGAGCAACCUGCCCCUGACUCUGGAAUAAGCGCUGGAAACGGCUUCUAAUACUGGAUACGAGAAGGGUCCGCAUGGGCACUUUCUGGAAUGUUUUUCGGUUGGGGAUGGGCUCGCGGCCUAUCAGCUUGUUGGUGAGGUAAUGUCUCACCAAGGCGACGACGGGUAGCCGGCCUGAGAGGGCGACCGGCCACACUGGGACUGAGAAACGGCCCAGACUCCUACGGGAGGCAGCAGUGGGGAAUAUUGCACAAUGGGCGAAAGCCUGAUGCAGCGACGCCGCGUGAGGGAUGACGGCCUUCGGGUUGUAAACCUCUUUCAGCAGGGAAGAAGCGAAAGUGACGGUACCUGCAGAAGAAGCACCGGCUAACUACGUG